GACCGGGUGGGGAAAGUUAAGGAGGGGCCCGGGCUCAGCAACCCGCGCCCAGAUUGCCUUCUGGCAUUCUGCGUCGUUGGGGAAGGGCCCUCUUAUCUCGCCGUGGAACUCCUGGCAGGGCGGGGGGCGGAGUCCUGGCCUUGUCCUCCCUACUAGCUACUCCUCCAAGGAGGUCUGUCGGCGUGGGCAAGCGCCCGGUGUUGGGACGGCCGCUCCUGGACCCUAGGACUCUGUGUGUCGGGUGUCGGAUUGGGUGGCAUGGGGUGAGGUCUGGAGCGGGACUUAGGGCAGGGUGGGGUGCAGAGGACGGUUCCAGAAAUGAGUGGGUCCACUGGGGUCAAGCCGGCGGUCACCACAGCCAGAAAGAUCCAGACAAGAACGUGUCCUUUGAAAGAGUUGAAGGAGAAAGCACAUCCCAACUUUUCAAAUUCUGGCCGGCCCGGCCAGUCAGGGGAGAAGAGACUACAGAUUGGAGGAAGCAAGCAGAGACAGACUCAGAUGGCCCGGACUCUGGGUUGGUGCUCCGCACCCUCCCCCCAAAAAAAAUGCUGAGAGAGAGAGUCCGGCAGCUCAAAACAUUGGGAGAUAAUCUGGGAGCAGGGUAGUAGAGGUUGGGGCAGGGUGGUGGGGCAGAGUAGUAACACUCCCUCUUAUCUACAGGGAGUACUUGCUGUAUUUGAUCCUCUACAACUGGUGUUGCUCCCAUUAUGCAGACGGAAGACAGCCCCAGGGAACAAAUGCUAGGAAAUGGCAGGGUGUGGAAACUGAGGCAUGGAGAGGUUACAAUAUACCCUAGAUCUCCCAACUGGCAAGUAAUGGUUGAAGUCAGGAGCCUACACACUUCCUCCUACUUCCUCUGUGGGUGCUGGUGAUCUGCCAACUCCUAGACAUCCAGCUUUAAGGUCCUCAGUGAAGCUUCUCUGCCCCCAGGCCUGUCAAUGUGAGAGCACCAUGGGUGUCCCUUUGAAAGUAUCUCCUACAGAGGUCAGUGAUUAUGCGGUCUAUGCGUAAACCAAAGGAUCCCAAGGGUUUUGGCCUUCCAACUAGUUUUGUGUGUGUGUGACUAUGACAGCACUGCACACCUCACCUGCAUGCUGGAAAUAGUGAUGUCCCCCUGUUCUGCCCCAAGUGCCUGCCUCAGGCAUUGUGGGUCCCUCUGGUCAACUUAGUACUUAAUUCUCCUGCCCUGGUUGCUCCCUAGAAGCCCUGGCUCUGAUUGCUGAGCCCACACUGCCACCUAGCGGUGGCCCCUCUCAUGCCCUCACUAGCCAAAUCUCCAUAGAUUCCUCCCUUCUAGGAUACCCUCCCCUGCACUCCAGGGAUUGACCUUACUGCAAGAUUCCCCUGCCCCUCCCUACCCAGAACAAUCACAAGAUGAGUCACAAGAAUACACAGCAGUGCCUUCCC